CCUACGGGUGGCAGCAGUGGGGAAUAUUGGACAAUGGGCGAAAGCCUGAUCCAGCCAUGCCGCGUGUGUGAAGAAGGCCUUCGGGUUGUAAAGCACUUUCAGUGGGGAAGAAAGCCUUGGGGCUAAUACCCUCGAGGAAGGACAUCACCCACAGAAGAAGCACCGGCUAACUCCGUGCCAGCAGCCGCGGUAAUACGGAGGGUGCGAGCGUUAAUCGGAAUUACUGGGCGUAAAGCGCGCGUAGGCGGUCUGAUAAGCCGGUUGUGAAAGCCCCGGGCUCAACCUGGGAACGGCAUCCGGAACUGUCAGGCUAGAGUGCAGGAGAGGAAGGUAGAAUUCCCGGUGUAGCGGUGAAAUGCGUAGAGAUCGGGAGGAAUACCAGUGGCGAAGGCGGCCUUCUGGACUGACACUGACGCUGAGGUGCGAAAGCGUGGGUAGCAAACAGGAUUAGAUACCUGUGUAGUC
rnacentral:rRNA from 1 species